AGUGAACGCUGGCGGUAGGCCUAACACAUGCAAGUCGAACGGCAGCACAGUAAGAGCUUGCUCUUACGGGUGGCGAGUGGCGGACGGGUGAGGAAUACAUCGGAAUCUACUUUUUCGUGGGGGAUAACGUAGGGAAACUUACGCUAAUACCGCAUACGACCUACGGGUGAAAGCAGGGGAUCUUCGGACCUUGCGCGAUUGAAUGAGCCGAUGUCGGAUUAGCUAGUUGGCGGGGUAAAGGCCCACCAAGGCGACGAUCCGUAGCUGGUCUGAGAGGAUGAUCAGCCACACUGGAACUGAGACACGGUCCAGACUCCUACGGGAGGCAGCAGUGGGGAAUAUUGGACAAUGGGCGCAAGCCUGAUCCAGCCAUACCGCGUGGGUGAAGAAGGCCUUCGGGUUGCAAAGCCCUUUUGUUGGGAAAGAAAAGAAGCAGGUUAAUACCCCGAUGUUCUGACGGUACCCAAAGAAUAAGCACCGGCUAACUUCGUG
rnacentral:rRNA from 1 species